GCCUCUGGUGGCACAGUGAGUUAAUGCGUCUGGAUGUUAACCUGAAGGUUGGUGGUUCAAGCCCACCCAGGGAUG